UACGAAGGGGGCUAGCGUUGCUCGGAAUCACUGGGCGUAAAGGGCGCGUAGGCGGCCAUUCAAGUCCGGGGUGAAAGCCUGUGGCUCAACCACAGAAUUGCCUUUGAUACUGUUUGGCUAGAGACCGGAAGAGGUAAGUGGAACUGCGAGUGUAGAGGUGAAAUUCGUAGAUAUUCGCAAGAACACCAGUGGCGAAGGCGGCUUACUGGUCCGGUUCUGACGCUGAGGCGCGAAAGCGUGGGGAGCAAACAGG
rnacentral:rRNA from 1 species